AUGCUUGCUUUGGCAGCACAUAUAGUAAAAUUGGAAUGAUACAGAGAAGAUUAGCAUGGCCCCUGUGCAAGGAUGACAUGCAAAUUCCUGAAGCAUUCCAUAUUUUU
ensembl:snRNA U6 U6 spliceosomal RNA